GACGAACGCUGGCGGCGUGCCUAAUACAUGCAAGUCGAACGCAGUGGGGACGGGUGAGUAACACGUGGGUAACCUCCCAUCAGAGGGGAUAACACUUGGAAACAGGUGCUAAACCGAUACUGAUGGAUGGCACCGCGGUGCAUUAGCUAGUUGGUGAGGUAACGGCCCCACAAGGCCACGAUGCAUCGCGUGCCGUAGGGGGGUAUCGGCCACACUGGGAGUGAGACCCGGCCCAGACGCCUACGUGAGGCAGCAGUAGGAAUACUUCGGCAAUGGACGAAAGUCUGACCGAGCAACGCCGCGUGAGUGAAGAAGGUUUUCGGUUCGUAAAACUCUGUUGUUAGAGAAGCGGAAUCUAAGAAGAAAGCCACGGCUAACUACGUGCCAGCAGCCGCGUAAUUG
rnacentral:rRNA from 1 species